AGGGUUAAAAGUUAAUUGGUUUAACAGAAAUCUCCUAAAUUUCUUCAUGGAGUUCGAUUCUCCUUAGCUCUU
rnacentral:tRNA from 1 species